AACGAACGCUGGCGGCAUGCCUAACACAUGCAAGUCGAACGGGAACGGCCUGCUUAUUGGCGGUGCGCGGAUGACGAACGGGUGAUUAACAAGUGACUAAGGUACAACUGAUUGUAGGAAAACUUCAGAAAGCAGGGGGUAAUACCGGAUAAGAUCUACUGCUGCAUGAUGAGCGUGGGAAAGUUUCGGCGGUUGGGGAUGGACUGGCGGAUUAUCCGCUUGUUCGUGGGGUAGUGGCUUACCAAGGCUUGGCAGGGUAGCCUGCCUGCGAGGGUCACCGGCCACAUUGGGACUGAGAUACGGCCCAGACUCCAACGGGAGGCAGCAGUGGGGAGUAUUGCACAAUGGGCGGAAGCCUGAUGCAGCACCGCCGCGUGCGGGAUGACGGCCUUCGGGUUGUAAACCGCUUUCGCCUGUGACGAAGCGUGAGUGACGGUAAUGGGUAAAGAAGCACCGGCUAACUACGUG
rnacentral:rRNA from 1 species